ACCAGCUCUUCAAGUGGUCGGGAUGAUUAUUGGGCUUAAAGUGUCCGUAGCCGGUUUAGUAAGUUCCUGGUAAAAUCGAGUAGCUUAACUAUUUGUAUGCUAGGAAUACUGCUAUACUAGAGGGCGGGAGAGGUCUGAGGUACUACAGGGGUAGGGGUGAAAUCUAUUGAUCCUUGUAGGACCACCAGUGGCGAAGGCGUCAGACUGGAACGUGCCUGACGGUGAGGGACGAAAGCCAGGGGAGUGAACCGGGAUUAGAUACCCGGGUAGUCCUGGCCGUAAACGAUGCAUACUAGGUGAUGGCACGGCCAUGAGCCGUGUCAGUGCCGUAGGGAAACCGUUAAGUGUGCCGCCUGGGAAGUACGGUCGCAAGGCUAAAACUUAAGGAAUUGGCGGGGGAGCACCACAAGGGGUGAAGCCUGCGGUUU
rnacentral:rRNA from 1 species